GCUGGCGGCGUGCUUAACACAUGCAAGUCGAGUGCGCGGUGUAGCAAUACAACUGGCGCACGGCGCACGGGUGCGUAACACGUGGGCAAUCUGCCCUUCGAUGGGGAAUAACUCCGGGAAACCGAAGCUAAUUCCGCAUAACAUUCCUUGGACUUCGGUUCGAGGUCUCAAAGCCGUAAGGCGUCGAAGGAGGAGCCCGCGCACGAUUAGCUAGUUGGUAGGGUAACGGCCUACCAAGGCUUUGAUCGUUAGCUGGUCUGAGAGGAUGGCCAGCCACACUGGAACUGAGACACGGUCCAGACUCCUACGGGAGGCAGCAGUGGGGAAUCUUGCACAAUGGGCGAAAGCCUGAUGCAGCGACGCCGCGUGGGGGAUGAAGCAUCUCGGUGUGUAAACCCCUUUCGACCCGGACGAAUGCCUCGCAAGAGGAGUGACGGUACGGGUAUAAGAAGCCCCGGCUAACUACGUGCCAGCAGCCGCGGUAAGACGUAGGGGGCCAGCGUUGUUCGGAAUUACUGGGUGUAAAGGGUCAGUAGGCGGUGUGGCAAGUCGGGAGUGAAAUCUCUGGGCUCAACCCAGAGGCUGCUUCCGAAACUGCCAUGCUAGAGUGUGGGAGAGGC
rnacentral:rRNA from 1 species